rnacentral:lncRNA from 1 species
CGGCGACUGCAAAUUUCAUCCGACUUUUAAUCCAAUUGAAAUUUUAAUUUACAUUUUAGUCUGUGAAAUGACCGUUGUACUUUAAAAACUUAAACCGUUAGAAAACGAUAUUUAUAUAUUUUUACAUUUAACACUCCUCUCGCGUCUGAAUCUAGUAUCAUGUGAAACGAUUAUUGUACUAUAAAAAUUUAAGCAGUUAGAGAAUGACAUUUAUAUAUUUUUAUAUUUAACACGGUCUGCUCUACCUCCUUUGCCGCAUUAUUACUGCGUUC